rnacentral:lncRNA from 1 species
GGAUUUGAUCCCGGGUCUCCAGGAUCACGCCCUGAGCCAAAGGCAGGCGCCAAAGCGCUGCGCCACCCAGGGAUCCCCAGAUUACAUUCCUAAUGGAGAAUAUUUGUGGAAAAUAUUUGCCCCCAUUUGUACGUUGAAAUUUUAACACCCAAAGUUGAUUGUCUCAGGAGGUGGAGCUUUCGGAGGUGCUUGGGUCACCGAGGUGGAGCCUUCAUGAAGAGACCCCACAGAGCUUCCCAGCUCUUUCCUCUAAGCGAGGAUACCCCAACUCUGAGCCAGAAGAGAUUCUAGAACAUGACCAUGCUGCUGCCUUGCUCUUGAACUUCCCAGCUUCCAGAAUUGUGAGCAGUAAGGUUUUGUUGUUUAUAAGCUACCCAGUCUGUGCUUUUUCGUUAUAGCAGCACAAACUGAGACAAUAUCAAAUGGAUUAGAUCAAAUAAUUAUUCUUUCUUUUGGUGGCACAUGACCGACUCCUUGUCAGUUUCUAGGAGAUUAUUUCAUCAGGACUUUGCUGAUACCACAGUCUUUGGCAUGACUUACCAGCUCAUUGCUGAUCCCAGGAAAAGACUGAGUGCCUACAAAUGAACAGGUCACAGAUCUUCUGCCCUAUGGGAAGACAGGCAGGUGGUUAUCAUGGACCCACCUCUUGGAAAGAGAGGAGGCAGAGAGGAAGAAAGAGGGCUGAGUCCACAUGCCUACCCAGCUGCAUAAAAUAA